rnacentral:rRNA from 1 species
GACGAACGCUGGCGGCGUGCUUAACACAUGCAAGUCGAACGGAAAGGCCCUGCUUUUGUGGGGUGCUCGAGUGGCGAACGGGUGAGUAACACGUGAGUAACCUGCCCUUGACUUUGGGAUAACUUCAGGAAACUGGGGCUAAUACCGGAUAGGAGCUCCUGCUGCAUGGUGGGGGUUGGAAAGUUUCGGCGGUUGGGGAUGGACUCGCGGCUUAUCAGCUUGUUGGUGGGGUAGUGGCUUACCAAGGCUUUGACGGGUAGCCGGCCUGAGAGGGUGACUGGCCACAUUGGGACUGAGAUACGGCCCAGACUCCUACGGGAGGCAGCAGUGGGGAAUAUUGCACAAUGGGCGGAAGCCUGAUGCAGCAACGCCGCGUGCGGGAUGACGGCCUUCGGGUUGUAAACCGCCUUCGCCUGUGACGAAGCGUGAGUGACGGUAAUGGGUAAAGAAGCACCGGCUAACUACGUG